rnacentral:rRNA from 1 species
AGAGUUUGAUCCUGGCUCAGGACGAACGCUGGCGGCGUGCCUAAUACAUGCAAGUCGAGCGGACAGAUGGGAGCUUGCUCCCUGAUGUUAGCGGCGGACGGGUGAGUAACACGUGGGUAACCUGCCUGUAAGACUGGGAUAACUCCGGGAAACCGGGGCUAAUACCGGAUGCUUGUUUGAACCGCAUGGUUCAAACAUAAAAGGUGGCUUCGGCUACCACUUACAGAUGGACCCGCGGCGCAUUAGCUAGUUGGUGAGGUAAUGGCUCACCAAGGCGACGAUGCGUAGCCGACCUGAGAGGGUGAUCGGCCACACUGGGACUGAGACACGGCCCAGACCCCUACGGGAGGCAGCAGUAGGGAAUCUUCCGCAAUGGACGAAAGUCUGACGGAGCAACGCCGCGUGAGUGAUGAAGGUUUUCGGAUCGUAAAGCUCUGUUGUUAGGGAAGAACAAGUACCGUUCGAAUAGGGCGGUACCUUGACGGUACCUAACCAGAAAGCCACGGCUAACUACGUGCCAGCAGCCGCGGUAAUACGUAGGUGGCAAGCGUUGUCCGGAAUUAUUGGGCGUAAAGGGCUCGCAGGCGGUUUCUUAAGUCUGAUGUGAAAGCCCCCGGCUCAACCGGGGAGGGUCAUUGGAAACUGGGGAACUUGAGUGCAGAAGAGGAGAGUGGAAUUCCACGUGUAGCGGUGAAAUGCGUAGAGAUGUGGAGGAACACCAGUGGCGAAAGGCGACUCUCUGGUCUGUAAC